GGUCUUACUUUGUAGCCCCGGCUAUCCUCCUGCCUCAAGAAGCUGAGAAUUUUGUCUUGCUUUCCUUCUUUCCGUUUACGUCCACGUGCGUGUGUAUACAUGGGUAUGUAGGCCAGAAGUCGUUCUUCAGGCUCUUAUUUACUUUUAGUUUUGUUUUUGUUGUUGUUUUUGUUGUUUUGUUUUUGAGACAGAGUCUAUCUACCAUUGAGACCUCCCCCCCCACUACCCCCCCGGGCUGGCGACCAGAAAGUCCCGGGUUCUUAUCUCAGCGACCCUUUUGUCUCUGCCUUUCAUGUUGAGGUGGGUCACUGAGCUUGACGUUUUCUAUAUGAAUCCUUGGGAUUGGACUCAGCUUUCAUGCUUCCGUGCCAAGCACUUUACUGACUAAGCUAUGUUUGCAACCCUAAAGUUUCUUUCUAAAAUCUGGGGAGUUCUGAGUUUCAAAACACAUCUGAUCCUAGGAUCUGGAAUUAGAGACACUGAAUCUGUUCAUACCUGUUUCACAGAGCAGAGACAAGCCACAAGACUGCUGCAGGAUUCUGCCCCACCCUGUCGGGUCCUGUGGUGUGCGCGCAGGCGCCGCCCCUCCCCCUCCCCCCCCCCCGGUCCUUCUUCUGGUCCCUCUCAAAGAUUCUUCUUGUCUGGUGACAUUUCCCUGUUGGAUUCCAGAGCCCAGCCCUGUGCCUCUACAUAUGGGCACUCACUGGGAGGGAAGAGCCCGUCCAGUCCAUCUUCAGUUACGUAUUGGCGUUGA
rnacentral:lncRNA from 1 species